rnacentral:rRNA from 1 species
UACAGAGGUCCCAAGCGUUGUUCGGAUUUACUGGGCGUAAAGGGUGCGUAGGCGGUUGUUUAAGUCUGACGUGAAAUCUCCGGGCCUAACCCGGAAACUGCGUUGGAUACUAUUCGACUAGAGGAAUGGAGGGGAGACUGGAAUACUUGGUGUAGCAGUGAAAUGCGUAGAUAUCGGGAGGAACACCUGUGGCGAAAGCGGCUCACUGGACCACAACUGACGCUGAGGCGCGAAAGCUAGGGGAGCAAACAGG